rnacentral:sRNA from 1 species
AGACCCAGUUUGGGGGCAGGGAGGGCGGCGGUGGUUGGUGGGGGAGAUGUUUAAAUCGAUGGGCAUAUGUGAGUAUUUUGCUGUUAAUGCUUUUUCUGUGUCAUUCUCUGUAGAGUUCCGGGAACGCGUCCUAUCGCUGCUCUAUGUCUUCCUCUGCGGAUUUUUCCGAUGAGGAUGAUUUCAGCCAGAAAUCUGGCUCCGCAUCCCCAGCUCCGGGAGACACCUUACCCUGGAAUUUGCCUAAACAUGAGAGAUCGAAAAGAAAGAUUCAAGGGGGCACAGUGCUGGACCCUGCCGAGAGGGCAGUGCUUCGGAUAGCAGAUGAACGGGACAAAGUUCAGAAGAAAACAUUUACAAAAUGGAUAAAUCAGCAUCUCAUGAAGGUUCGAAAACAUGUGAAUGAUCUCUAUGAAGACUUAAGGGAUGGACACAAUUUGAUUUCUCUUUUAGAGGUUCUUUCAGGAGAUACCUUGCCCAGAGAAAAAGGUCGGAUGCGUUUUCACAGACUACAGAAUGUACAAAUUGCACUUGACUAUUUGAAAAGACGCCAGGUGAAAUUAGUGAAUAUUAGAAAUGAUGACAUAACAGACGGAAAUCCCAAAUUGACUUUGGGAUUAAUCUGGACAAUAAUUUUGCACUUUCAGAUAUCUGAUAUCCAUGUUACUGGAGAGUCAGAGGAUAUGUCUGCAAAAGAGAGAUUGCUACUCUGGACGCAGCAGGCAACAGAGGGUUAUGCUGGAAUUCGGUGUGAAAAUUUCACUACCUGCUGGAGAGAUGGAAAAUUAUUUAAUGCCAUCAUUCAUAAAUACAGGCCGGACCUGAUAGAUAUGAAUACUGUUGCUGUUCAAAGCAACCUUGCAAAUUUAGAGCAUGCUUUCUACGUAGCAGAAAAAAUUGGUGUUAUAAGACUUCUGGACCCUGAAGAUGUCGAUGUCUCCUCACCUGAUGAAAAAUCAGUAAUAACUUAUGUGUCAUCUCUCUAUGAUGCAUUUCCUAAAGUCCCUGAAGGUGGGGAAGGCAUUGGUGCAAAUGAUGUUGAAGUCAAAUGGAUUGAAUACCAGAAUAUGGUGAACUACCUCAUCCAAUGGAUUAGACACCAUGUGACCACAAUGUCUGAGAGAACAUUUCCUAAUAAUCCUGUAGAACUGAAGGCACUUUAUAAUCAGUAUUUACAGUUUAAAGAAACAGAAAUUCCACCAAAGGAGACAGAAAAAUCAAAAAUUAAACGUCUAUAUAAAUUAUUAGAGAUUUGGAUAGAAUUUGGACGCAUCAAGCUCCUUCAAGGUUAUCAUCCAAAUGACAUAGAAAAAGAGUGGGGGAAACUCAUUAUUGCCAUGCUAGAGAGAGAGAAGGCCCUUCGUCCAGAAGUAGAAAGGUUAGAAAUGUUGCAACAGAUUGCCAACCGAGUUCAGAGGGACAGUGUCAUCUGUGAAGACAAACUGAUUCUUGCUCGAAAUGCUCUUCAGUCUGAUUCUAAAAGAUUAGAAUCAGGAGUGCAGUUUCAGAAUGAAGCAGAAAUUGCUGGGUAUAUACUUGAAUGUGAGAACCUUUUACGCCAGCAUGUAAUUGAUGUACAGAUUCUUAUUGAUGGAAAAUACUACCAGGCAGAUCAAUUGGUACAGAGGGUUGCAAAACUGCGUGACGAAAUUAUGGCCUUAAGGAACGAAUGUUCUUCUGUGUACAGCAAAGGACGCAUACUGACAACAGAACAGACAAAGCUCAUGAUAUCAGGAAUCACUCAAAGUUUAAACUCAGGAUUUGCACAGACCUUACACCCUAGUCUGACCUCAGGGCUGACCCAGAGUUUAACACCUUCCCUAACCUCUUCUAGUAUGACUUCUGGCCUGUCAUCAGGGAUGACUUCCCGCCUGACUCCAUCUGUCACUCCAGCUUAUACACCUGGUUUCCCAUCAGGAUUAGUUCCAAAUUUCAGUUCAGGAGUAGAGCCAAAUUCAUUGCAAACUCUGAAGUUGAUGCAGAUCCGAAAACCCCUUCUAAAGUCUUCUUUGCUGGAUCAAAAUUUAACAGAAGAGGAAAUCAAUAUGAAAUUUGUUCAGGAUCUUUUGAAUUGGGUUGAUGAGAUGCAGGUACAACUGGACCGCACUGAGUGGGGCUCAGAUUUGCCAAGUGUUGAAAGCCAUUUAGAAAAUCAUAAAAAUGUUCAUAGAGCUAUUGAAGAAUUUGAAUCUAGCCUCAAAGAAGCUAAAAUCAGUGAGAUUCAAAUGACAGCACCUCUUAAACUGACUUAUGCAGAAAAGUUGCACAGAUUAGAGAGUCAGUAUGCAAAACUCUUGAAUACAUCCAGGAAUCAAGAACGGCACCUUGAUACACUCCAUAAUUUUGUAAGUCGUGCGACUAAUGAACUUAUUUGGUUGAAUGAAAAAGAAGAGGAGGAAGUUGCUUAUGACUGGAGUGAGAGAAACACCAACAUAGCCAGGAAAAAAGAUUAUCAUGCUGAAUUAAUGAGAGAACUUGAUCAAAAGGAAGAAAAUAUUAAAUCAGUUCAGGAGAUAGCAGAGCAGCUACUUCUAGAAAAUCAUCCAGCCCGGUUAACUAUUGAGGUAAAGCUGGAAAGUGUAAUGGUGUUGGUUGAAUAUUGAUAUGAUUAUUUCCCUUCAGAUUCUUUUAUUGCUGAGAAGUUGAAAAUUACAAGCCAUCUAACUUUUGUUAAAACCUGGCUCAAAAACGUUUCUGACAAAUUGUACUGAUUGCCUUCAGUUCUCUGGCUCUAAGUAUGUCACCCAUCACUUAGAAUAAAAGUACCCUUGUCAGCCUCUGUGGCUGAGAAGAUGUAUUGCUGUAAAUAUGAAGUACCUUCUCUGUGUAAGCAUUGCCAUAUUAUUUAUUUCUGAUUGUGUAACAUUGCACAAGUGACAUAGUAUUGCCAAGCCUCAUUUUCCUACC